AAAAAGGCAAACCCUGGGUUUGCGUGUCCAACUUUGACUGCCCGUCUUAUAUAAAUUUUUUUUAUAAUUCGUAUUUUUAUUGGUGUCAGAUGAUAAAACAUGAUUAAUACUUUAUGCGUGACUUGUUUUUUUAAUUUUUUUUAUAAUUUUUUCAAAUAAGAUAGACGGUCAAAUAUUGGGCAUGGAAAUCAGGGUU
rnacentral:pre_miRNA from 1 species